rnacentral:rRNA from 1 species
GACGUAGGGCGCGAGCGUUGUCCGGAUUUAUUGGGCGUAAAGAGCUCGUAGGCGGUCUGUUGCGUCCGCUGUGAAAACUCGGGGCUUAACCCCGAGCCUGCAGUGGAUACGGGCAGACUAGAGGUAGGUAGGGGAGAAUGGAAUUCCCGGUGUAGCGGUGAAAUGCGCAGAUAUCGGGAGGAACACCGGUGGCGAAGGCGGUUCUCUGUGCCUUACCUGACGCUGAGGAGCGAAAGCGUGGGGAGCGAACAGG